rnacentral:RNase_MRP_RNA from 2 species
GUGUCGUCCGAAGAAUCGCUGUCACAGUAUACGCAAAAAGAGCUAUCAUGCUUUUUCUUUUCGCUGUGGGGAAAGUCCCCGGAGAUAUAGAGUUAUCACCCUCGUUCGAUACGCAAAGCGCCCAGCUUUAAGCACGCUGUGGGGGACGAGGGGGGUAGGACGAGGAUGAUCUACUUGGGUUCUGUUUAUACUGCAUAUGUUCAGAAAUGGAUCCAGGUUCCUCCUCGUCUUCUCUAUUGCCUACUGUAGACGGCUAACUCGACUUAAGUCGCGGUUGUGCGAAGAUAUGAGCAUUGCCGCGUUCGGGUCAUCUGUCUUACACUAGGUGCUUCGUUGCUCAUAGACAUAGUUAUGCGAUUGUAGACCCACCCGUGGGUGGAUCAUCAACUUAAUGGGGCUUACUCUCUUUCGACA